AGCAGCCGCGGUAAUUCCAGCUCCAAUAGCGUAUAUUAAAGUUGUUGCAGUUAAAAAGCUCGUAGUUGAAUUUCGGGAUCAAUACGUCGGUCAUGCUUUUUGGUACGAACUGGCGUCAUUGGUUUCUCCUUUCUGACGAACCAUGAUGUCAUUAAUUUGGUGUUAUGGGGAGUUGGGACUGUUACUUUGAAAAAUUAGAGUGUUUAAAGCAGGCAUAAGCUUGAAUACAUUAGCAUGGAAUAAUGAAAUAGGACGUUUGAUCCUAUUUUGUGGUUUCUAGGAUCAACGUAAUGAUUAAUAGGGAUAGUUGGGGCAUUAGUAUUCAAUUGUAAGAGGUGAAAUUCUUGGAUUUAUUGAAGACUAACUACUGCGAAAGCAUUUGCCAAGGAUGUUUUCAUUAAUCAAGAACGAAAGUUAGGGGAUCGAAGACGAUCAGAUACCGUCGUAGUCUUAACCAUAAACUAUGCCGACUAGGGAUCGGAUGAUGUUAAUUUUUAA
rnacentral:rRNA from 1 species